UAAAUGCAUUAUCUGGUAUAUGAC
rnacentral:miRNA from 1 species